rnacentral:rRNA from 1 species
AGUCGACGAUGAAGCUGGAGCUUGCUCCGGUGGAUUAGUGGCGAAUGGGUGAGUAACACGUGAGCAAUCUGCCCUUGACUCUGGGAUAACUGCGGGAAACUGUAGCUAAUACCGGAUACGACACCUUGGGGCAUCCCAGGGUGUGGAAAGAAUUUCGGUCAAGGAUGAGCUCGCGGCCUAUCAGCUAGUUGGUGAGGUAAUGGCUCACCAAGGCGACGACGGGUAGCCGGCCUGAGAGGGUGACCGGCCACACUGGAACUGAGACACGGUCCAGACUCCUACGGGAGGCAGCAGUGGGGAAUAUUGCACAAUGGGCGAAAGCCUGAUGCAGCGACGCCGCGUGAGGGAUGAAGGCCUUCGGGUUGUAAACCUCUUUUAGCAGGGAAGAAGCGAAAGUGACGGUACCUGCAGAAAAAGCACCGGCUAACUACGUGCCAGCAGCCGCGGUAAUACGUAGGGUGCAAGCGUUGUCCGGAAUUAUUGGGCGUAAAGAGCUCGUAGGCGGUUUGUCGCGUCUGCUGUGAAAAUCCGAGGCUCAACCUCGGACCUGCAGUGGGUACGGGCAAGCUAGAGUGCGGUAGGGGAGAUGGGAAUU